AAUGAACGCUGGCGGUAGGCCUAACACAUGCAAGUCGAACGGCAGCACAGUAAGAGCUUGCUCUUACGGGUGGCGAGUGGCGGACGGUGGAGGAAUACAUCGGAAUCUACUUUUUCGUGGGGGAUAACGUAGGGAAACGUACGCUAAUACCGCAUACGACCUACGGGUGAAAGCAGGGGAUCUUCGGACCUUGCGCUAUUGAAUGAGCCGAUGUCGGAUUAGCUAGUUGGCGGGGUAAAGGCCCACCAAGGCGACGAUCCGUAGCUGGUCUGAGAGGAUGAUCAGACACACUGGAACUGAGACACGGUCCAGACUCCUACGGGAGGCAGCAGUGGGGAAUAUUGGACAAUGGGCGCAAGCCUGGUCCAGCAAUACCGCGUGGGUGAAGAAGGACUUCGGGUUGUAAAGCCCUUUUGUUGGGAAAGAAAAGCAGCAGGUUAAUACCCCGCUGUUAUGACGGUACCCAAAGAAUAAGCACCGGCUAACUUCGUG
rnacentral:rRNA from 1 species